AAAUUGAAGAGUUUGAUCAUGGCUCAGAUUGAACGCUGGCGGCAGGCCUAACACAUGCAAGUCGAACGGUAGCACAGAGAGCUUGCUCUCGGGUGACGAGUGGCGGACGGGUGAGUAAUGUCUGGGAAACUGCCUGAUGGAGGGGAUAACUACUGGAAACGGUGGCUAAUACCGCAUAACGUCGCAAGACCAAAGAGGGGACAUUCGGGCCUCUUGCCAUCAGAUGUGCCCAGAUGGGAUUAGCUUGUUGGUGAGGUAACGGCUCACCAAGGCGACGAUCCCUAGCUGGUCUGAGAGGAUGACCAGCCACACUGGAACUGAGACACGGUCCGGACUCCUACGGGAGGCAGCAGUGGGGAAUAUUGCACAAUGGGCGCAAGCCUGAUGCAGCCAUGCCGCGUGUAUGAAGAAGGCCUUCGGGUUGUAAAGUACUUUCAGCGGGGAGGAAGGUGUUGUGGUUAAUAACCGCAGCAAUUGACGUUACCCGCAGAAGAAGCACCGGCUAACUCCGUGCCAGCAGCCGCGGUAAUACGGAGGGUGCAAGCGUUAAUCGGAAUUACUGGGCGUAAAGCGCACGCAGGCGGUCUGUCAAGUCGGAUGUGAAAUCCCCGGGCUCAACCUGGGAACUGCAUUCGAAACUGGCAGGCUUGAGUCUUGUAGAGGGGGUAGAAUUCCGGUGUAGCGGUGAAAUGCGUAGAGAUCUGGAGGAAUACCGGUGGCGAAGGCGGCCCCUGGACAAAGACUGACGCUCAGGUGCGAAAGCGUGGGGAGCAAACAGGAUUAGAUACCCUGGUAGUCCACGCCGUAAACGAUGUCUACUUGGAGGUUGUGCCCUUGAGGCGUGGCUUCCGGAGCUAACGCGUUAAGUAGACCGCCUGGGGAGUACGGCCGCAAGGUUAAAACUCAAAUGAAUUGACGGGGGCCCGCACAAGCGGUGGAGCAUGUGGUUUAAUUCGAUGCAACGCGAAGAACCUUACCUGGUCUUGACAUCCACAGAAGAAUCCAGAGAUGGAUUUGUGCCUUCGGGAACUGUGAGACAGGUGCUGCAUGGCUGUCGUCAGCUCGUGUUGUGAAAUGUUGGGUUAAGUCCCGCAACGAGCGCAACCCUUAUCCUUUGUUGCCAGCGGUCCGGCCGGGAACUCAAAGGAGACUGCCAGUGAUAAACUGGAGGAAGGUGGGGAUGACGUCAAGUCAUCAUGGCCCUUACGACCAGGGCUACACACGUGCUACAAUGGCGCAUACAAAGAGAAGCGACCUCGCGAGAGCAAGCGGACCUCAUAAAGUGCGUCGUAGUCCGGAUUGAGUCUGCAACUCGACUCCAUGAAGUCGGAAUCGCUAGUAAUCGUGGAUCAGAAUGCCACGGUGAAUACGUUCCCGGGCCUUGUACACACCGCCCGUCACACCAUGGGAGUGGGUUGCAAAGAAGUAGGUAGCUUAACCUUCGGGAGGGCGCUUACCACUUUGUGAUUCAUGACUGGGGUGAAGUCGUAACAAGGUAACCGUAGGGGAACCUGCGGUUGGAUCACCUCCUUA
rnacentral:rRNA from 1 species